UAUUGCGCAAUGGGUGCAACCCUGACGCAGCAACGCCGCGUGCGGGACGAAGGCCUUCGGGUUGUAAACCGCUUUCAGCAGGGAAGAACCAUGACGGUACCUGCAGAAGAAGCCCCGGCUAACUACGUGCCAGCAGCCGCGGUAAUACGUAGGGGGCGAGCGUUAUCCGGAUUCAUUGGGCGUAAAGCGCGCGUAGGCGGCCCGCUAAGCGGGACCUCUAACCUGGGGGCUCAACCUCCAGCCGGGUCCCGAACUGGCGAGCUCGAGUGCGGUAGGGGCAGGCGGAAUUCCCGGUGUAGCGGUGGAAUGCGCAGAUAUCGGGAAGAACACCGAUGGCGAAGGCAGCCUGCUGGGCCGACACUGACGCUGAGGCGCGAAAGCUAGGGGAGCG
rnacentral:rRNA from 1 species